GAUUUCCACAGUGACCUGUACGCUUGGUGAUCCAGGCUUCUAUGAAAGGAUUGUCCGAGAAACAACAAUCCCCCAGCUUGUUACAAGAUACCGAAUCCAGUUCUCUGCCCUAUACAGGAGAGCCAGCUUGUUUGCCCGGAGGAAAGAAUUCAUUGAACAGCCACAGACGACAUUCCAGAACAUCAGCCAACCACUUCCCAACAGGGUACCGUUGGGUCAUCACAAGGCCUGCCACCACCCCUGGCAGCGGGACUCCACAUACCUUCCCAUGGCAGAGCUCAGGUUGCAGGAGGUCAACAUGGGCAUUCAGGGCAAGAGCUUGUCUUAGUGAUCUUCGGUCUGGUUUCUUGAUAAAAGGCCAUUGGAAUUUUUAAGUCUCUGGAAAUCCAUGGGACUCUACUUUUUUUUUUUAAAGGUGUUUUCUAUGCUUUGCAAUGACUUCCUUGGGUGAACUUCGGUCUAAAUAUUAACAGGAUGGUGUGUGCAUUUUGGGCGUGCGUGGGGGGAGUAAUUUCAAAUAUACUUCAGGGCCCAGUAGAGAAUUGUCACUUUGCAUGUCUUCCUUCCUUGUUGGCAAACCAUGGCGCUCUUACUCCCUGUCUGGAAGCUGAGACUCUGCCGAGGCAGUGCGUUGAUCCCCAGGACAGUUAGUGCACCAAGUAGACGCUAAGCUUCCUCAUUUCCCCUCCCCUCAUCUGUUUCACAAACUGGACAACUCUGUUUCGAUCUGCCUUCCUAUAAGAGCUCAUUGGAGCACAAAUAGAUAAAUUAUUUAGAAGAGACCAUCAAAGCCGAGCCCAGGAAGAGGUUGGUGCCUCCUCGUGUGGUCACUGAGCCGAGAAGCUGGGUUGGGGCUCAGGUGAUAUGCAUGAGGUGCCGGUCCAGGUGGGUCCUCCUCGGGAUUCUCUUGACUGAGAGCAUCUUCCUGGAGCCCAGACACCGAGAUGCCUGUGUUUGAGGGUAGGGAGUCUCUUGGACAGCAAGAAGAUCAAACCGUCCAUCCUAAAGGAAAUCAGCCCUGAAUAUGCAUUGGAAGGACUGAUGCUGAAGGUGAAAUUCCAAUCCGUUGGCCACCUCAUGCGAAGAGCUGACUCAUUGGAAAAGACCCUGAUGCUGAGAAAGAUCGAAGGCAGGAGGAGAAGGGGACGACAGAGGAUGAGAUGGUUGGAUGGCAUCACCGAUUGGAUGGACAUGAGUUUGAGCAAGCUCUGGGAGUUGGUGAUGGACAGGGAAGCCUGGCAUGCUGCCAUUCAUGGGGUUGCCAAGAGUUGGACACGACUGAGUGACUGAACAAUGACCUCUAUGCAGGUGGUGAAGUUUAAAUGAGGUGACCAGAGAGAUUUUCUCAUGUGAUAGGGUUAGAGUCCUCAGGGUAAGAGAGCAGAGAACUUUGUUUCCCACCUCCCAUUCUGUCUGUCUGUCUCCCUCCCUCUGUCUCUCCUCUCUGUGAAUGAGGACACAAUGAGGAGGCAGCCAUCUGCAAGCCAGAAGAGACGGCUCACCGGCACUCGGCCGGGCCUCCAGCCUCCAAAACCCUGAGAGACAAAGUCCUAUUGUUUAUGCCACCUGGACUGUAGGACUCAGCUAAGCCAGAUGAGCUGACAGGGACAAAGCCCAUUUGCCCACCUGGACACGGAGGGCCUCUCCGUCUGAGGGGCCAGCCCUGCUCUCCCCACCUGCCCUCUGCUGGGCAGUGCUCUGGGCCUUCUACAGCUUUCCUGCCUUCCACCUGGAUUAGAAGCUCCAAGCUCAAGACUCCAGUAACAGGCCGUAUCAUGAUUUGCACCCCUUGGGUACUAGCCAAGUACAUUUCUCACACUAUAAAGUGUAAUAUUUGCUGAUUGAUUAACUAGUCUGAGAGAUGAUGAGCUAAAUUGGACCUGAUAUGUUGCAAUAGUUUGUUUUUACUUUGGUUUCAGAAUUGGCAAAGAAACAUGGGGAUAAUUAUGCACAACAUUUCUUUCUAUUUGGUGAUAUUAAUGUGCAGUUUAUUUUUCUCCUGGAAUGAUCUAGACAGAGAGGGUUACCUCAGCCCUGCCCUUUAGCCUGCAUGUGGACAUAGAACGUGGCCCAGGACACCAGAGUCUACUAAAAGCUGGCUUAAUUGUCUUUGAACAAAGGCCAUUUUAUCAAUCAUAUUACAAUCCAUUAAAUUAUCUGAUACUAGAUCAGAGUGCCUUCAUGCUAUUCUCUUUAUAAUUAUUCAGUCUCUGUUUUGUAGAAAAGGAGGAAAUUUCCUUGAACCAGAAAUGACUCCUUUCUACUUUGUGUUCCCUUUUUUGCUCUGGGUGAAAUAUACUAAACUCUUUACUCCGGACCACUCGAUUUAAGUGGUGCAGGAUUUUCAAUUAAUGAUGAUACCUUGGACUUGAUCAGAAAGUCAAGCCACAAGAACUGAAUCUCCAAGGGAUUAUUACUUUUUAAUUCUUUGUACAGCAAGACUGUGUGUCAAAAAAUAAUCCCAAAGGAUUUUUCAUUCACUCUUCUAACCUAAAACGACCCUCUGCUUAAUUUAACAUGCUAGAUGUACGUCAAGGAAUCAUGAGUUACCUUUUCUAUUUAUGCGUAAAAAUCAGUUUUAGUUCAGACGAUAUUUGGGGGACAUUUGCUUAAUCAACACUCAUGUUCAGGAAUGUAUUAUCUGUGAUGUUAUCAGUAUCUAUACUUUGCAAAUAUAUUUUAAAAAACUGCUCUGCCACCUUUACUUUAAAUUAUGACAUCUGAGUGAAAAGGCCACAUCACAAGUUGGUGGCUGUGUGACUUGCCUGAGCCCCACCUGACCAAUGCUGUCAGCUGCAUCUCCGCAAAGCACAGGUAGGAGAAGCAAAGACUUAAUCAACUCAGUGGUUUUGGCCACAGUCUCCUCCUCCACAACACAGGGCAAAACAAACCAUAGAGACAGUUGACGUUAUAAAAGUUUUGCUCAGACUGUUGGAUUGAUUAUUUAGAUAAUUGCUUUAAAAACUUCUGCCAUGUCAGCUUCAGGCAUCCUAGAACCAUGAGAAUAACCCUAGAGGGCAAGGAGGAGAGGUCAGAAAUGAGAGGAGGAAACUGAUCCUUGAAGAUAUUAACUGUGAAGCUUCAUUAGCUGUGAACUCUUCUCCUCGGGACUUAUUUUUAUGCGAGUUAAAUAUAGCCUCAAUCGUAAAUGCCUCUACUAAUUGCACUCUCUGUAACUUGCAACUGAAUGAUAUUCUAAAUGCAUCAAAACACAGAGUCAUUUCAGAAGUAAACACUCAAGGAAUCAAUGUAGGUUUUUGGAGGAAGCGUCAUAGAAAAUGUAUCUUUUGGUCAAGGUCUUGA